rnacentral:misc_RNA from 1 species
GUGGUUGCAGACAGAUUUUGAAUAGCAUUUUUCUUGUAAUUAUAACCUUCGUUCCAUAUGCCAGCAUUUGUUCGUAUAAUUUAUGUCAGCUGCAAGUUCUGUGCUCAUCUCAAUUGGAUUGGACUGCAUGCUUCUUAUUGAAGUAACAUGUUCAUUUGAUGGUACUUCUAAGUAACUUUCUUACAUGCUUCUGGUGUGCUUUCUGCUUAUGCGCUGCUUAAAAUUGGCCAAACAAAAUGUUCCUUGUGGGCUAAUGUUUCUGCUGUACAGUCUCUUCCGUGCACUUGGGGAGGACGUUGGAUUUUCUCUAUAGUAUUGGUAGCGGAAUUGUCCUUUAAAUACUAGAAGAAUUGUGUUUGCCCCGCGUAUUUUAAGUGAAUUAAUUAAAGAUGAAGUCCAAGGCCAGACUGCCAAUGUUUUUGUCUUUAUAUCUCCAAACAAUGGAUGGGUUAUUUUUAUUUUCUUAAUGAAUGUUGGCCGCUGUGCUUAUCUGCACUCUGUAUGCAGAGACGUGCAGGCACGUUUGUUUGGUCGCCUUGAGUUUAUAAAUUUG